rnacentral:rRNA from 1 species
CCCGCCGCCCCCGCCCGGGCACAAGCGGUGGAGCAUGUGGUUUAAUUCGAUGCAACGCGAAGAACCUUACCUACUCUUGACAUCCACGGAAUUUAGCAGAGAUGCUUUAGUGCCUUCGGGAACCGUGAGACAGGUGCUGCAUGGCUGUCGUCAGCUCGUGUUGUGAAAUGUUGGGUUAAGUCCCGCAACGAGCGCAACCCUUAUCCUUUGUUGCCAGCGAUUCGGUCGGGAACUCAAAGGAGACUGCCAGUGAUAAACUGGAGGAAGGUGGGGAUGACGUCAAGUCAUCAUGGCCCUUACGAGUAGGGCUACACACGUGC